GAGCGGCCGAUGUCAGAUUAGGUAGUUGGUGGGGUAACGGCCUACCAAGCCUGCGAUCUGUAGCGGGUCUGAGAGGAUGAUCCGCCACACUGGGACUGAGACACGGCCCAGACUCCUACGGGAGGCAGCAGUGGGGAAUUUUGGACAAUGGGCGCAAGCCUGAUCCAGCCAUGCCGCGUGAGUGAAGAAGGCCUUCGGGUUGUAAAGCUCUUUCGGACGGAAAGAAAUCGCGCAGGCUAAUACCCUGCGCGGAUGACGGUACCGUCAUAAGAAGCACCGGCUAACUACGUGCCAGCAGCCGCGGUAAUACGUAGGGUGCGAGCGUUAAUCGGAAUUACUGGGCGUAAAGCGUGCGCAGGCGGUUGAUUAAGACAGGCGUGAAAUCCCCGGGCUUAACCUGGGAACUGCGCUUGUGACUGGUCAGCUAGAGUACGGCAGAGGGGGGUGGAAUUCCACGUGUAGCAGUGAAAUGCGUAGAGAUGUGGAGGAACACCGAUGGCGAAGGCAGCCCCCUGGGCCGAUACUGACGCUCAUGCACGAAAGCGUGGGUAGCAAACAGGAUUAGAUACCCUGGUAGUCCACGCCCUAAA
rnacentral:rRNA from 1 species